rnacentral:rRNA from 1 species
GCAGUCGAACGGCAGCGCGGGGCAACCUGGCGGCGAGUGGCGAACGGGUGAGUAAUACAUCGGAACGUACCCAGAAGUGGGGGAUAACGUAGCGAAAGUUACGCUAAUACCGCAUACGAUCUACGGAUGAAAGUGGGGGACCUUCGGGCCUCAUGCUUUUGGAGCGGCCGAUGUCUGAUUAGCUAGUUGGUAGGGUAAAGGCCUACCAAGGCGACGAUCAGUAGCUGGUCUGAGAGGACGACCAGCCACACUGGGACUGAGACACGGCCCAGACUCCUACGGGAGGCAGCAGUGGGGAAUUUUGGACAAUGGGCGCAAGCCUGAUCCAGCAAUGCCGCGUGAGUGAAGAAGGCCUUCGGGUUGUAAAGCUCUUUUGUCAGGGAAGAAACGGGAUUGGAUAAUACCUAGUCCUAAUGACGGUACCUGAAGAAUAAGCACCGGCUAACUACGUGCCAGCAGCCGCGGUAAUACGUAGGGUGCAAGCGUUAAUCGGAAUUACUGGGCGUAAAGCGUGCGCAGGCGGUUUUGUAAGUCUGACGUGAAAGCCCCGGGCUCAACCUGGGAAUUGCGUUGGAGACUGCAAGGCUUGAAUCUGGCAGAGGGGGGUAGAAUUCCACGUGUAGCAGUGAAAUGCGUAGAGAUGUGGAGGAACACCGAUGGCGAAGGCAGCCCCCUGGGUCAAGAUUGACGCUCAUGCACGAAAGCGUGGGGAGCAAACAGGAUUAAUACCCUGGUAGUCCACGCCCUAAACGAUGUCUACUAUUGUCGGGUUUUAAUUAACUUGGUAACGCAGCUAACGCGUGAAGUAGACCGCCUGGGGAGUACGGUCGCAAGAUUA